rnacentral:rRNA from 1 species
GACGAACGCUGGCGGCGUGCCUAAUACAUGCAAGUUGAGCGCUGAAGGUUGGUACUUGUACCAACUGGAUGAGCAGCGAACGGGUGAGUAACGCGUGGGGAAUCUGCCUUUGAGCGGGGGACAACAUUUGGAAACGAAUGCUAAUACCGCAUAAAAACUUUAAACACAAGUUUUAAGUUUGAAAGAUGCAAUUGCAUCACUCAAAGAUGAUCCCGCGUUGUAUUAGCUAGUUGGUGAGGUAAAGGCUCACCAAGGCGAUGAUACAUAGCCGACCUGAGAGGGUGAUCGGCCACAUUGGGACUGAGACACGGCCCAAACUCCUACGGGAGGCAGCAGGAGGGAAUCUUCGGCAAUAGACGAAAGUCUGACCGAGCAACGCUGCGUGAGUGAAGAAGGUUUUCGGAUCGGAAAACUCUGUUGGUAGAGAAGAACGUUGGUGAGAGUGGAAAGCUCAUCAAGUGACGGUAACUACCCAGAAAGGGACGGCUAACUACGUG